GCCUUAUAAAUUUUAACUGGGUGUGGAUGGAAAGAUGCCCUUCUGGGAAUGCAGAUUCAAAGUUCCUCAGUUCCUCAGUUCCCAUGGAAACUGGCUUGGGAAUGAUUGAUGAGGCCACAAUAUGAAGGGGGGAAUCAUAGAUCCACCUACAGUAUUUUCAUGCAUUUCCUCCUCAACUCCAGGGUGUGUUUCAAAUAGGUAGAUACUGACAUUAAGACUAUGCUGACCUCCAAACAAUGGUUCCCCCCAUAAAGACCCAGGCAUAUCUUAGAACAGGCCUGUCCAACCGGUUAAUUGCGAUCUACUGGUCAAUCGUGGGCUGUCCCUGGUGGAUCCUGGUUGAUUACGUGAUCUCCUCUGAUCGACCCCCCCAAGCUCAGUCCGAUGAGUAGAUCAUUGGUCAAUCCAAUGAGUAGAUCACUGCCAGUUUGUUUAUAGUGGGAAUAGAUCACAGUCUCUUGGAAGUUGGACACCCCUGUCUUAGAACAUUCAGGCAACAACAUCCCCAUGCCAUAUUUUGCUUUAUAGCAACAGAGCAGAUAUUUCACUGCUCUACCCAUUUUAUAGACCGGGGGAAAAUGAGGCUGAGGCACUGUCCAAAGCCUCUGGUGAAUCCAUCAGUAAAGUUGUGUUGUUCCUUUUCAUUCUUGGUAGGGCUGCUGCUAUUUGAGAUGGCACUUUAGCAAGAUAGCUUGCAGGUGAAGCUUUACUAAGCACAGAGAUUCAAUGACAGGUAAGUGUCACCUGCUGCAUUUCUGCUUGUGUCAUAAGCACAAGAUAACUACAAGGUUGUUGUUGUUUUUAUUUGGAGCCAAUCUCCCGAGUCCCAUUCAAGUAGUGUGUUCAUUGCACAACAUUGGGUUGUGCGUCAAGAUUGGGGGAGGGAGUGUACAAAGACGAGGUACAGCAACUAUCACUUUUAUUUAUGACUCUUAAGUUGAUUCCAAGCGAGAUUCCAGCCCAGUAGAAAAAUGCAGAGAAUUGAGAGCAUCUUUGACUUAAUGGACGUCUUACAUUUCACUCUUCCCCUAUCUGAUAUAGGAUUGUCACAGGCAAGCCUUAAUGGAUUUUCCAUUCUGUGAAUUUUAUCUUUCUUCUCUUUCCUUCUUGCUUUCCUUCCUUCACCAUGACUGUAAGAUGCUUUAUUUAUGAAUGCCUGAGUUCAUAAAUGUCAGCAUUUCCGUUGCAGUGCUCCAGGAUGUUGGCUCUCGCCUCUGCCUGUGGAAUCAAUUCUGCCUUAUCGGAUUCAUCUCAUACACGGACUCUGUGACCGAGAGACAUUGGAUCCGGCAGUGGUACUUCAUCUGCAUCAACAAUUGC